ACGGGUGAGUAAUGCCUGGGAAAUUGCCCUGAUGUGNNGGAUAACCAUUGGAAACGAUGGCUAAUACCGCAUAACGUCUACGGACCAAAGAGGGGGACCUUCGGGCCUCUCGCUUCAGGAUAUGCCCAGGUGGGAUUAGCUAGUUGGUGAGGUAAUGGCUCACCAAGGCGACGAUCCCUAGCUGGUCUGAGAGGAUGAUCAGCCACACUGGAACUGAGACACGGUCCAGACUCCUACGGGAGGCAGCAGUGGGGAAUAUUGCACAAUGGGCGCAAGCCUGAUGCAGCCAUGCCGCGUGUAUGAAGAAGGCCUUCGGGUUGUAAAGUACUUUCAGUCGUGAGGAAGGCGUUGAAGUUAAUAGCUUNNNNNUUUGACGUUAGCGACAGAAGAAGCACCGGCUAACUCCGUGCCAGCAGCCGCGGUAAUACGGAGGGUGCGAGCGUUAAUCGGAAUUACUGGGCGUAAAGCGCAUGCAGGUGGUUUGUUAAGUCAGAUGUGAAAGCCCGGGGCUCAACCUCGGAACCGCAUUUGAAACUGGCAGGCUAGAGUACUGUAGAGGGGGGUAGAAUUUCAGGUGUAGCGGUGAAAUGCGUAGAGAUCUGAAGGAAUACCAGUGGCGAAGGCGGCCCCCUGGACAGAUACUGACACUCAGAUGCGAAAGCGUGGGGAGCAAACAGGAUUAANAUACCCUGGUAGUCC
rnacentral:rRNA from 1 species